rnacentral:rRNA from 1 species
GACGAACGCUGGCGGCGUGCUUAACACAUGCAAGUCGAACGAAGUGGCGAACGGGUGAGUAAAGCGUAAUCAACCUGCCCUUCAGAGGGGGACAACAGUUGGAAACGACUGCUAAUACCGCAUACUGAGGGAGGGGAUGGCGUCUGAUUAGCUAGUUGUAGGGGUAACGGCCCACCAAGGCGAUGAUCAGGAGCAGCUCUUGUAGGAUGAACGGCCACAUUGGGACUGAGACACGGCCCAUACUCUUACGGGAGGCAGCAGUUGGGAAUCUGCCGCAAUGGACGAAAGUCUGACGUAGCAACGCCGCGUGAGUGAUGACGGCCUUCGGGUUGUAAAGCUCUGUUAAUCGGGACGCGGUACCGGAAUAGAAAGCCACGGCUAACUACGUGCCAGCCGCCGCGGUAAUUC